rnacentral:rRNA from 1 species
UACGGAGGGUGCAAGCGUUAUCCGGAUUCACUGGGUUUAAAGGGCUCGUAGGUGGGCUGGCAAGUCAGUGGUGAAAUCUCCGGGCUUAACCCGGAAACUGCCGUUGAUACUAUUUGUCUUGAAUAUUGUGGAGGUAAGCGGAAUAUGUCAUGUAGCGGUGAAAUGCUUAGAUAUGACAUAGAACACCAAUUGCGAAGGCAGCUUACUACACAAUGAUUGACGCUGAGGCACGAAAGCGUGGGGAUCAAACAGG